rnacentral:rRNA from 1 species
AGUGGCAUGAGGCGAACCGGGGGAACUGAAACAUCUAAGUACCCCGAGGAAAAGAAAUCAACCGAGAUUCCCCCAGUAGCGGCGAGCGAACGGGGAGGAGCCCAGAACCUGAAUCGGCUUGUGUGUUAGUGGAAGCGUCUGGAAAGUCGCGCAGCAAAGGGUGAUAGCCCCGUACACUAAAAUGCACAGGUCGUGAGUUCGAUGAGUAGGGCGGGACACGUGACAUCCUGUCUGAAUAUGGGGGGACCAUCCUCCAAGGCUAAAUACUCCUGACUGACCGAUAGUGAACCAGUACCGUGAGGGAAAGGC